GACACCCCGGGAAGGCGGCUCCCGUUGGUGCCUGUUCUGACCUGUGACAGAUUGUACGUCUAGUGGAAGUCACAAUGAAGUGAUGGGACGGAGGGAGGCUAAGGCUUAGGGAACACUGCUCUCCCCUCUGAGCUCUGUAAUUUUGUUAUAAAAGCUGACAUCUUCCCAGCCGCAAGCCAACGAAGAUGUCACGUAUCCCCGAACCCCAGCAGAUGGUAGCAGAAUAAAGUGGAGG
rnacentral:lncRNA from 1 species